AGUGAACGCUGGCGGUAGGCCUAACACAUGCAAGUCGAACGGCAGCACAGUAAGAGCUUGCUCUUACGGGUGGCGAGUGGCGGACGGGUGAGGAAUACAUCGGAAUCUACUUUUUCGUGGGGGAUAACGUAGGGAAACUUACGCUAAUACCGCAUACGAUCUACGGGUGAAAGCAGGGGAUCUUCGGACCUUGCGCGAUUGAAUGAGCCGAUGUCGGGUUAGCUAGUUGGCGGGGUAAAGGCCCACCAAGGCGACGAUCCGUAGCUGGUCUGAGAGGAUGAUCAGCCACACUGGAACUGAGACACGGUCCAGACUCCUACGGGAGGCAGCAGUGGGGAAUAUUGGACAAUGGGCGCAAGCCUGAUCCAGCCAUACCGCGUGGGUGAAGAAGGCCUUCGGGUUGUAAAGCCCUUUUGUUGGGAAAGAAAAGCAGCAGGUUAAUACCCCGCUGUUCUGACGGUACCCAAAGAAUAAGCACCGGCUAACUUCGUG
rnacentral:rRNA from 1 species